AUAUACUUCUUCAUGAAAUCUGAGCCCCCAAGCAUUGAAAAUGUUGAACUGUGCCUGCAAUUUUGAGAGAAAUUGGUUCCAUUGGGCAUAAGUUUGCCAUCAUACAGAAAUUCUUUCAAACAGGAUGGUACAAUAUUCGCCAAGCACAAUGAAGAAUAUGAAAUUAGGAAGAAUGGUCAACCAGUGUCUACAGCAUCACCAYCAAAAAGGCAAAGGAAAAAAUAAUUAUUUCACGUUACACUUGAACGCCUCAAAAGAUAAAUUCAAGAGUCAAACGAAAAGAAGGAAGAAAUAAUAUUGUUUGUAUCUUUGUAUCUCAUCUUUUAAUGGUCCAUGUUWAUGUUGCAGUUCAUAGACAUUGUGUUUCUUUAUUCAAAUAUGUUAUUCACUUUUAAAGACCCAUUGCCACKUACYGUGAUGCAUCACAAUUUGUUUACAUUUUGAAUCAUGUCACCACUGAAAAAACAAUUCUAACCUUUUGAAUAAACUCUUAAAAGAAUGUAAAAGAAUCAUUAUUGUGCCUUAGUGCUAUGUAGGAAAAGGAUUURAUAUGACGUUGUUAUUCAAUAUUUGAAUCUUUGAAUUUCAUGGACCACGAAAUUCAUCUGUGACCGCGUGCAUCACGGUAAGUGGCAAUGGGUCUUUAAAUUCAAAUAAAAGAUUAAAUUAGAAAGUACAAAUAGGGAAUAUCAAAUUUAGUAGUUGCUUGUACAGUUACUGUUCAAUGACAGUUGUAACUUCUCUACAAUAAGUCAUAUUUAAUAUUUUUAUGACAUUGUUA